rnacentral:sRNA from 1 species
GACCUGCUGGUUAUUCAUGUCCUCAUAGCCGAUGUUUACUUCAUUUGCCAAUACCUAUAGAUAUGCUCGUCGAGUGA